rnacentral:rRNA from 1 species
GUCGUGAGAUGUUGGGUUAAGUCCCGUAACGAGCGCAACCCUUGUCCUUAGUUACCAGCACGUAAUGGUGGGCACUCUAAGGAGACUGCCGGUGACAAACCGGAGGAAGGUGGGGAUGACGUCAAGUCAUCAUGGCCCUUACGGCCUGGGCUACACACGUGCUACAAUGGUCGGUACAAAGGGUUGCCAAGCCGCGAGGUGGAGCUAAUCCCAUAAAACCGAUCGUAGUCCGGAUCGCAGUCUGCAACUCGACUGCGUGAAGUCGGAAUCGCUAGUAAUCGCGAAUCAGAAUGUCGCGGUGAAUACGUUCCCGGGCCUUGUACACACCGCCCGUCACACCAUGGGAGUGGGUU